AUUGAACGCUGGCGGCAGGCCUAACACAUGCAAGUCGAGCGGUUGAGAGUAGCUUGCUACUUGAUGCAGCGGCGGACGGGUGAGUAAUGCAUGGGAAUCUGCCUGGUAGUGGGGGACAACGGUUCGAAAGGAACGCUAAUACCGCAUACGCCCUACGGGGGAAAGGGGGGAUCUUCGGACCUCUCGCUAUCAGAUGAGCCCAUGUCAGAUUAGCUAGUUGGGGGGUAAAGGCCCACCAAGGCGACGAUCUGUAACUGGUCUGAGAGGAUGAUCAGUCACACUGGAACUGAGACACGGUCCAGACUCCUACGGGAGCAGCAGUGGGAAUAUGGACAAUGGGCGAAAGCCUGAUCCAGCCAUG
rnacentral:rRNA from 1 species